rnacentral:rRNA from 1 species
UGGGGAAUCUUGCGCAAUGGGCGAAAGCCUGACGCAGCAACGCCGCGUGGAGGAUGAAGGCCCUUGGGUUGUAAACUCCUGUCGGCUGGGAAGAAAUCAUACGGUGCUAAUACCACCGUGUGUUGACUGUACCAGCAAAGGAAGCCCCGGCUAACUCUGUGCCAGCAGCCGCGGUAAUACAGAGGGGGCCAGCGUUAUUCGGAAUUAUUGGGCGUAAAGGGCGCGUAGGCGGCCAUGCGUGUCUUCCGUGAAAUCCCUCGGCUUAACUGAGGACGUGCGGAAGAAACUGCAAGGCUCGAGUCCGGGAGAGGGGGGUGGAAUUCCCAGUGUAGCGGUGAAAUGCGUAGAUAUUGGGAGGAACACCGGUGGCGAAGGCGGCCCCCUGGACCGGUACUGACGCUGAGGCGCGAAAGCGAGGGUAGCAAACGGGAUUAGAUACCCCGGUAGUCCACGCCGUAAACGAUGGGCACUUGGUGUCGCGGGUAUCGACCCCUGCGGUGCCGAAGCUAACGCAUUAAGUGCCCCGCCUGGGGAGUACGGUCGCAAGGCUGA